UACGUAGGGUGCGAGCGUUGUCCGGAAUUACUGGGCGUAAAGAGCUCGUAGGUGGUUUGUCGCGUUGUCCGUGAAAACUCACAACUCAAUUGUGGGCGUGCGGGCGAUACGGGCAGACUGGAGUACUGCAGGGGAGACUGGAAUUCCUGGUGUAGCGGUGGAAUGCGUAGAGAUCAGGAAGAACACCAGUGGCGAAGGCGGCUCUGGCUAG
rnacentral:rRNA from 1 species